UACGAAGGGGGCUAGCGUUGUUCGGAGUUACUGGGCGUAAAGGGCGCGUAGGCGGCCGGUCAAGUCGGGUGUGAAAGCCCGGGGCUCAACCCCGGAUGUGCAUUCGAGACUGAUUGGCUUGAGGACGGGAGAGGAUGGUGGAAUUCCCAGUGUAGAGGUGAAAUUCGUAGAUAUCGGAAGGAACAUCAGUGGCGAAAGCGACUUCCUGGACCAAUACUGACGCUCAUGUGCGAAAGCGUGGGGAGCAAACAGG
rnacentral:rRNA from 1 species